UAGGGGGUGGUGUACUGGGAGCACAGAGAUUUUUGAUUUCUCAAGUGGGGGUUCAAGUCCUCCUCCCCUAA
rnacentral:tRNA from 1 species